ACCAGCAGAUACUGUGUAUUGUCUGCUCUUAUUAUCCACUGAACAUAAUGAGGGCUUUCUACAUUGUGCUCCCUCUGCUGAUAUCUGUGUCAUGUAAGGUGUUUAGCAGGGCCGGUGCAAGGAUUUUUGCCGCCCUAGGCAAAAGUAAAGUUUGCCGCCCCCCCCGCCCCCCCGUGACAUCACAAUGCCCCACCCAUAUGACCUGCCAUGUUAACUAACGCUAGUGCUGCAGUGCUGCAGUGCCGCUGUGUUUACAUUAAAAGGUCUGCAGGGACAGGCUAUAGACACCAGGACCAAGACAUUAAGCUGCUGUGGUUCUGGGGACUAUAGUGUUUCUUUAAUGUGAGGUAAAUUAGAGAUUAGUGCCACGAAUAAUAUACUAGAUUACCUACUUACAAGCAGAUGAGGAUGAUGAUGGGCUCUAGCUGCAGUCUGGCUCCACUGGUCUGGUGUAUAACAGGAUCUCUGGAGGCUGUUUGUAACUGUGGUCACAAAAAUCAAUGUUCUGGGAGAACGAGAAGCAGCUCCAUUUUUUGGGGGCCCUUUACAUAGCUCAAGGUCUGGGUCCCAGGGUCCACCUUCAUGUUCCACCAAUGAGUUUGUUCACAGGGGGUAGAGUGUGUAGGGGAUGUCCUGAUUUGUGUGUAAGGAAUGCAUUGUGUGAAUCUGUGUUUGUAUGUGUAAGGGAUGUAAGGGAUGAAGUGUGUGAGUCUGUAAGGGGUGCUUUGAGUGUGUUUAAGGGGUGCAUUGAGUGUGUGUAAGGAAUGCAUUGUGUGUUUCUGUGUGUGUAAGGGAUGCAUUGUGUGUAAGGGUUGCAUUGCGUGUGUGUGUGUGUAAUGCAUUGUGUGUUUUUCUGUGUGCAAGGGGUUCAUUGUCUUUGUGUGUAAGGGGUGCAUUGUGUGUGAUUGUGUGUGUGUGUGUGAUGGAUGUCAAUCUCUCCCCCCUCCCUUGUCACUCUCUUCUCCCCCCUCCCUGUUAGUUCCCCGUUAGUUUCUUUCUCCCCCCCCUCUAUGUUUUCUCUACUCACCUCCCUGUCCGGUUUCUUUUCUCCCCCCCCUCCCUUUCAGUUUCUUUCUCCCCCCUCCCUGUUAGUUCCCCCCCUGUUAGUUUCUUCCCCCCACCUCCCUGUUAGUUUCUUUCCCCCCACCUCCCUGUUAGUUUCUUUCUCCCCCCUCCCGUCAGUUUAUUUCUUCCCCCCUCCCCUCCCUGUUUCUUUCUUCCCCCUCCCUGUUUCUUUCUUCCCCCUCCUUCCCUGUUUCCUUCUCCCCCCUCCCUCCCUCCCUGUUUCUUUCUUCCCCCUCCCUCCUUCCCUGUUUCCUUCUCCCCCCUCACUCCUUCCCUGUUUCCUUCUCCCCCUCCCUCCCUGUUUCCUUCUUCCCCCUCCCUCCCUGUUUCUUUCUUCCCCCCCCUCCCUCCCCCUGUUUUCUUUCUCCCCCUCCCUCCCAGUUUCCUUCUCCCCCUUCCCUCCCUGUUUCCUUCUUCCCCCUCCCUCCCUGUUUCUUUCUUUCCCCCCCUCCCUCUUUCUUCUCCCCCCUCCCUACCUGUGUAGUGGCGUGGCUGAGCAAAGUAAAUAGUGGUACAGGAGACAGCUGUCUCCUGUACCCGGCGGACUAACAGGAAGUGCACACUGAGUGUGUACUUCCUGUAAGUCCGGCCGGGUACAGGAGACAGCUGCUCCCUGUACCCGCCGACUAUACUGGGCUCGGCCACGCUACAUAGAGGGAGUGACAGGAGGGAGCGCUGAACGCUGAGCGCUUCACUCCUAUCAGCCUCUCCUCAGGCUGCUCCCGGGCGGUACGGUCCGCCCUCAUGGACGCACCGCCCGGGCAAAGCUGCAGCCGCCUGAGGCUCUCUGCAGAGCGCUCGGGCGGCUGCAGCAUGAGUGGGGCCGGCGCUCCUAGCGGCGCCCCUUCCCAAGGGGCGCCCUAGGCGGCUGCCUAGUCCGCCUUACAGGUAGCGCCGGCCCUGGUGUUUAGUUAUACUGCACAUAUCUGAGAAAAACAAUGUUUGGUUAUUAAGGCUUCCAAUGUUUAUUAAAUGUGUUUAUGUUUCAGAUGUCCUCUCGCAAGCAGUUACCCUGGAUCAACCUGGAUCAGUAACUGUGAAACCCUCAGAGACUAUGAAACUGACCUGUAAAGUUUCAGUGGCUGUUACUAGAUAUUACUGGGGCUGGAUCAGACAGCUUCCAGGAAAGGGACUGGAAUAUAUUGGUCGUAUUGCCAGCAGUGGAACCUCACAGCCUGGCUCCUCGUUUAACAAUCGAGCCACAUUCACCAGAGACACCGCAAAGAAUGAAGUUUAUGUCCAAAUCACCAAUAUGAGAAGUGAAGAAUCUGGUAUAUAUUUUUGUGCAAGAGACAC